GUGAGUCAUCGAAUCUUUGAACGCACCUUGCGCUCCUUGGUAUUCCGAGGAGCAUGCCUGUUUGAGUGUCAUUAAAUUCUCAACCUCACCGAUUUUGUUAUGAAGUCGUGUGUAGGCUUGGAUGUGGGGGUUUGCAGGUCCACCUUGUGGUCUGCUCCUCUGAAACGUAUUAGUGGGUUUGGCCCCUAAUCUAUUGGUGUGAUAAUUAUCUACGCCGUGGAUUGGAAGGCUACAUUAGACCUGCUUCUAACCGUCCUUCACUGGACAACUCUUGACAUUUUUGACCUCAAAUCAGGUAAG
rnacentral:misc_RNA from 1 species